GGGAGCAGAAUCCACCCCUAAGGGGAAAGGGUUAAGUGGGGAUGGCUUUCCUGUGGGCGGGCUCGGCGAUCGGCAGCGCCGGGCUCUGUUAGCCAAGUCUGAGCAUCGCGGAGGAUGCGGCGCGGGGAGCGGCUGCAGGGACGCGCGCAAGGUGAACGCGGGGGCUGCCGGCUACGCGCCCAGGCUCAUCCAGUGAGGACUGGAAGUUGAGUGUUUUAGGCCCACACAUCAGAGUGGACCAUGGCCCCCAGCCCAUGGGGCCGUGUAUGUGGCCCCCUACUGCUGAUGCUGCUGCUCUCCCUGGGGCCUGGCCCUGCUCUGGGCCGGCGCCUUCCCAAGCCACUUGAGGACUCGGAACCACACCUGAUCCUAGGAGAUGACCCCCAGGGCCCUAUGGGCACAGAGCCCCAUGCCCUCGACUUCCUCUGGCAGAAGUCCAGAGAUGAGAGCCCCUGGAACUCCAAUGUCCCCCAGGUCCCUGCCGAGGAAGCACCUGAGGCGCCCGCAGAUUCUCCCCUUGGCCCAGCCCUGCACGGACCUAAAGCAGCCCAUAGGGCUCAGAGAGAAGGACUCCCAGUAACUGAUGAUCUCCAGAUGGCUCGAGGGCCAAGUUCUCAUGGCUGGACAGGACCUCCUGACUCACAGGAGCCUAUGGAGCAAGAAGCACCAGCCCCCCAUCCAGUGGGUCUCCCCCAUCUCACUAUCAUCCCCAUAACUCCCAGACUCCAACUCAGGAUAGCUACAGUUUCUCCCUCCCCAGGGCCGGAGGAAUCUGGAGGCCAAAUGGGACAACAACCACCUAAAGAUGAGGGUCUGGUGGCCGAAGCCAAGAUCAGAGUCUCAGAGAUAUCCCCCUUAGACCACCAGGGCCCUUCCCAGACUCUUGCCCCCAACUUGGGCACUACCAAGACGCCAGUGCUGGAAGAACAGGGUGGGGGCGAGGAGGACUACCAGGAGGCAGCUCAAAGCCCCCUCUUCACCCAACAAGAUCCAGCAGCCCCUCAUGUUGGUUUGGUAUCUCCAGCUGAGGUGGCAUCCUCUCAGGAGCCUGGGCCCCAGCCAGACCUGGCAUUGGCCAAAAGCCUUCCUCCUACUGAGGAGCUACCACUUGAGCUCCCCAAGAAGGCUGGAGGUGGGGAGACCUGGGAAGUCAGUCUUCCAAGUCCCUCACCCAAAGAGGCUGAUCUUUCUGAUGUGAGGAGCUCACCAAGACCCCAGCCCUCAGGUCCCCCAGCCACAGAGACUCCUGACGUGCAACCUAAGCCAGAGAUAGCAGCAAUGAAUGGAGCAGACCCCAUCUCCCCUCAGCGGGUGAGAGGAGCACUGGAGACCCCAGGUACCCCCAAGUCCCUCAUCCCUGGCCCCUUGGACCCUGGCCCAACUACAAAUCGAACAGAGAGCCCUGUGGGGGCCCUGCAGCCAGAUGAAGCCGAGGAGUGGCCGGGGCGCCCCCAAAGCCAUCCCCCAGCACCCCCAGUCCAGGCCCCCUCGACGUCACGCCGGGGCCUCAUUCGGGUCACUACGCAGCGCGCCCUGGGCCAGCCACCCCCUCCGGAGCCCUCAGCCAGCUCCAUGGCAUCAGCCCCAGCCACCAGCCCCCCGGCCAAUGCCACCGCCCCUCCCCUGCGCUGGGGUCCCCUGCGGCGGGUGCUGAGCUUUUCCUGGGAGCUGCACGUCUAUGGGGUGGGGGUGCUCUUCCUGUUGCCCGUGUUGUUGGCACUGGCCUCACUGGCAGCUGCCCCUGCGGGGCCCCGGCUGGCUCUGGUGGCAGCGGUGCUGGUGCUCAUAGCGUCGGGGCUUCGAUCUGCCUACAUGCUCGCGGACCCAUACGGCUCUCAGGCCCGGCUGGGCUUACGCACCGGCCUGGUGCUCUACAACCUGCCCUUCCCCUUGCUGCUCACUGCGCUGGCGGCCCUGACCCUACUCGGGCUGGGCGCGGGGCUGCCACAGCAGCUGCAAAACCCGCUCCUGCUGGGAGCGUUGGCGUUGGCGCACGGCGUGGGGUUGCUGACUACUGACCUGUUGUCAGUGAGGCCUGCGUUCAACCUCCUGGCUCAGGGCUUGUCUUGUGCCUGGGGCGCGGCCGUGGCUCUGGGCACACUCUGUCUGUGCCGUCGCCGCCUGCUGGACGGGCCGCGGGGCUGGGAUGCCAGCCCGGGCCCGCGGCUGCUGGCCGUGGCCGGCGCGCUGGGGCUGCUGGCCAGUGGCUUGCAACUGGCAGCGGCGCUCUGGCUAUACCCGGGCCCAGGUCGGGUGGGUCGCUUUUCGUGGGCCUGGUGGGGCGUCCACUUCUGGCUGCGCCUGCUGGAGCUGACAUGGGCCCUCACCCUUGCGCUAGCCGCUGUAGCCGCCGCGCGGCCCAGGCCGCCCACAGAGCACGCUUGCUGGGCUAAGUUGCUGCGCCUGGCGUGCCCCACGCCCUCGGGCAAGAGCGAGGUGCCUGAGCGACCAAACAACUGCUAUGCGGGGCCUAGUGGCGUGGGUGCAGGCAGCUUGGACAUAAGCAAGAGCCUCAUCCGCAACCCAGCAGAGGGUGGGCUGCCUGCCACGCCCAGUUCAGGCGCCUGGGGGUCGGCUGCGUCGUUGGGCCGCGGUCCCCAGGGUGGCCCUGGACUGUCCCGCAGCAGCGUGGGGCCGGCGCCGUCGAUGAGCGAGCUGGACCUGCGGCCGCCAUCACCCAUCAACUUGAGCCGCAGCAUCGACGCCGCGCUCUUCCGAGAGCACUUGGUGCGAGACAGCGUUUUCCGGCGCUGUGGCCUGCGCGGUCUGUCCUCCCCGCCGCCCGGGGGCGCGCUGCGGCCGCGCCGGGGCAGCCACCCCGACGCCGAGCUCGAGGGCGCAGGCUCUUCGCUCCUGAGGGGCCGCUGCCGGUCUCUCAGCGACGUGCGCGUGCGCGGCCCGGUCCCACCACAUGUCGCGGAUGAACCUGACGGGGCGGUUUCUGGCAGCUCCAUGGACAGCUUCUCCCGGGGCUCGCUCAAGAUCAGCUGGAACCCGUGGCGUCACGGGCUGUCGUCGGUGGACAGUCUGCCCCUGGAUGAGCUGCCCAGCACGGUGCAGCUACUGCCUGCCCCAGCCCCUGCUCCUGCCCCCACCCCCUCCCGGCCCGGGGAACCUCAGAGUGAGGUCCAGCCUCGCUGCAAGCCCGGGGACUCCCGCAGCGCCUCCAGUGACACCAUCGAGCUCUGAGGGGUCCAGGGAUGCAGGACCGGGGCCCUACCCUCGAUGGCCAUAUGGCUUGGCCGACUGGGACAACUGAACAUUUGAAAAACUGGCAUUCCCGGGUUUCCAUCUAACUACAGCCCCUGGCAACAUUGGGGCAUGAACCUAACUGCCCCCAUUUUGUUUUUUAAAUAUCUAUUUUUUUCAGUGGGUAUUUUGCACAGAGGCUGUGACUUAUGCGGAAUACAGGGUGGACAUGCAUGGAUUUGGGUGUGGGAUAUGGGGUCCAGGUACCCCCAAACACCCCUCCAGACUCCGUAGUGUGGAGAUGAGGUUUGCUUGCCCAGACUGACUGUCCUCUUUGUGCCAAAGAAAUAAACCCUUAGGACUUGGCUCAUGCCUCCCUCUGGCCAUGCCAGGAUCCCGUUCAGAGAAGAGGUAGCAGUCCCCACCCCCGACCCCCAGCAAUCCCAAGUCCCCUAUAUGUUGGGGAGGGGAGGACCCAGAAAGGAAAUGUACCCCACUGUGGGAAGCCAUGAGAAUAACGGCUACAGAACAUCUAUCUGUUGUACACGGUUUUCAGCUCUUCGUAUUUAUCAUCUUCCUUAAUUCUAUUAAGCCUGAGUGGAAAGCAUUAUCAUGCCCAUUUUAUAGAUGGGAAGAGUGAAGAUCAGAGACAAAAGCAAUUUGUCCAGGGUCCUUUGGCAAAUGAUAGCUGGCAACGAACCCAGGAACCUCCAUUCCAAAGCCUGGUUCCUCCAUCCCCUUCUCCUAACACUACUUCAGGGCCAAGCCCCUCUGUCCUUAUACUGCUCCUCCAUCAUGGUAGCCCUCAAUUUCCCAGGGUUUUAGAAAAUUUCCCCAAGGGUGGGGUGGGGGGGGCUCGCAGUAGCUCAGGCCAACCCAUAGGGAGUAGGAGGCAGGUAGUGAGACUGAAGUUUCUCCAUUUUCCAAGACCUUUAUUUCCUGAGAUGAAUAAAUAAUCAGCGGCUGAGGGGCAGGGGUACAGAACAGGAGCUGGCAGCAUGCAGCUGGCAGGAGGAGGCUAUGAUGGGCCCACCCCUGGAGGGAAUCCCCCCUCAUCCUGGACAGGGGCCAAAGCCCACUAGCAGCCACCACAAGGAGAUACUUUUUUAAAAAUUCACACACAUUGUGAAGCCUACCCAGUUCCCCCAGGCCAAGAUCUCAUGGCAUCCAUAUUUAGGGCUACUUUUUCACCCCAAGGGUCUCACCUGCCUAGGUGUCAGGUGUGGUAUUUACCCCGCUCAAAAAUAAAGCAAGCUGCCUCAAGUGUCCAGGCAGGAAAGAGGCCUGACUUCUGGGGGCAGCCUGGAUAGGAGGAGAUCCUGCAAAUGUGGCAAGGAUUAUCUGCCCUUGAUGAAGCCCUCCAGCACACGGUCGCUGCGCUCUGACAACCAGUAGCCAGUCAUGGCCGCCACAGCCCCAAUGAAGAUGGCGGUAAACACCAAGUCACCCUUGGCAGCUAGUGUGGCCAGUGCACAGAUGAUGACACCGAAGAACAUCUGCUGCAGCACCACCAGCUCAUCCUCUGUCAUCUCCGAGAAGAAGCCUGCUGACUCUGUGAGGAACAAGAGAAGCACCUGUCACUCCCCCGCUGUUCCUGGAGCUUCCCACGUACCUCAUCAUUGUGCCACAUGGUUGCCCAGCAAGCUGGCACAUGAUGUCAUUUACUGCUGAGAACAACUCCAACGGGCAGUUAUUGUCCCUGUCUCAAUAAAUGGGAAACUGAGGUUCAGAGCGGUGAAGAGGUUUGCCCAAGAUCAUGUGGUGGACAAGUCUGGAGACAGCCUGUGUACCAGCCCGGCUCCAGAGCCAGACUGCAUGGAUUUGACUCGCAGCUCUGCAACCUGCUUGUCAUGUGGUCCUGGGCAAGUUAUUUCAUCUGUCGGCAUCCUAGUUUCCACCCUGUAAAGUGAGGAUGAGAAUAAUACGAACAGCACUGGACCUAUUGUAGAAGCGAAAUAACUUAAUACAUGCAACAGGCUUGGAACAGUGUCAACACAUGGUAAGAGCUGUGAAGUAGUCACCAUCGUCAUCAUUGUGGUUGUCCUUCAUCUCAGAACAACAGCCUGCAACAGCUGUCAGCAGCCCAGGAAUCAGCACUUACCUCGGCACUCAUAGGAGCCCUCUGUGUUCACACAGAACUGGUUGGAUCCACAGCUGGCUCGUUCCGUGCCACACUCAUCGAUGUCUGCAGGGAAACAGGCAGGAUACGGAUUUCAAUCCCUAUCGCACUAACAGGGAAGCUGAGGCCAAGGUUGUUGGGGAAGGGACCUGCUCCGACUCAAAUAGCUUGGCAGAGACUGCCGGCUGUGUGCCAACACGAAGGCAGAGGUGCAGUAGGACUUCGGGCCGCCCAACUAACGAUGACAUUUUCCAAUCUGCCUUGCAGCUAAGUGUGGCCUAAUGAUUGAGUUCUGGCCAACAGGAUGUAAACAGAAAUGAUGUGCUCCACUUUUAGCUUGGCCUUAAAACAACAGAAGUGGACUCUUCCAUGCAUUUUCUUCCCUUUCUCACUUCCUGAGUGUUGGUCAUGGAACAUGGAGGUACCUCAAGCAACAAAAACAUCCCAAGGGGAUGACCACACUGUAAGACAGAAAGUAUCUGGGUCCUUGAAUGCUUGUAACAGGUGGAACUUCCUUGCCAGCCUGGACCACUUGUUUUAAGACUGUGGUAUAAGAUAAAAAUAAACCUCUAUAUUCUUUAA